GUAGCUUUUGAAUCACUUACGUCCUGUUACCAGCUUGCCUGAGCUGUUACCAGGUGUAUAAGUGUAUGAGUCCAUUCACUAUUCUUGAAUACAAUCAGCUCAGGUGUCCUGAUAGCUGGUCACCUAGUGUGUGGUGUAGGCUCUCACCUAUUAUCUUAGAGGAGUAGUGGUGAUGGUUGUAUGCACCAGUUUCUAUUAGUGGCAGGGGGUCACAUUUCGAGGAGGGCAGGAUGCUGACAGCCUUCCUUCAAGUGUCAGUGAGGUAGGUGUGGCUCUAUUCUCUAGAGCACUCUGGUGGGUGGGCUUUGCAGCUGUAUCUUAGGCACCCAAUGCUUGGGUAGGCGUCACUAUUCUCAGACCCCUCUAGCAGGUGGCUAGGUGAUGUGGGUGGAGUCUCAGCCCUCAGUUCGCUGGUGUGGAUCAGCGAGGGCUCUGUUUAAUAGGUAGAGAGGUAUCUGACCUCCAAAACUUGCCUUUCCACUGCUGAGCUAAAACAAUUAUGGUCAGAUCUCUAUCAGAAUUGCCUUUACAUUGUAAUAGCCACCUAGUUACCUGUAGGGUGAAAGCCAAAGACUAUGGGUCUGUUAAUGCCUGGAUGGAGCUGAUUCUGUACUGUUAUUUCAGUUUAGGGAAGUCAGGGAAGGAUUUUUUCUUUGAUUGUUAAAUGCUGCUUUUCUCAGGCCAGGAGAAUGGGUUAGAAAAGAAAGAAGAAAAAAAAUUCAGCAGUGCACUUCACUCUCUGGCACAGAGGAUUCCAAUGUUAAUGAAGCUGGCUGGGGCAAUGAGGGGUGGAAUCAGAUAUAUAGAAGAGAGUAGCCUGGCAAAAUAUACAAAGUUACUUAUGUUGUUUGGUGAGAACUGUUUUUUCUGAGAUUCCAGAGCAUUGUGUCGCUCGUGUGUGCUGGCUGGAUCCCUGCUGAGACUGUCCCAGAGGGUUAGGGCUGCAUCCAUGCUCACACUGUCUCAGGAAGCCACAAUCGGCUCCCCCACACUUAGUCCAAAGCCCAGCACCAAGGUUUCCUUUCUGGGACGCUGCACUCCAGGCUCCAAAACCAGUCGCUGCUUCCCUAUAGUUUUUCGUUUCCCUGUCAGCCGCGUCUGUGUGGAGCCUGCGUGUGCUGCCUGGGUCCCCUCUGAGGUUGGUCCUGAGGGUUAGGCCUAUAUCUGUUCUUCCCUGUCUCAGUAAACCACAAUCAGCCCCACCACUCUGACACCAGGAAACCGCGAGGGCUCAAGGCUGCGGCGUGGGACACUGGCUCUGGAAGCGGUCCCUGCUGCAGCGUGGCUUUCGCUCCCCCGUCACUCAGGUCAACUCCUUAGUUCUGUGUUUGAUGGUCAGGGUUUGUAGAUUGUCCUUUAUGUAAUCAGUUCACUUGUUUUUUCGAGUCUUUGUUUCAAGAAGUAUAAGCGGAAUCUUCUACCUAGUCAGCCAUCUUGGUCCUGCCCCCGUGUCUGCCUCUUUAUGUGAUUUGGUAUUGACUGUUGUCUCUGAGCAAUCUAUAAGUUAUUGUAUUAGUUUAUUUUAUGCUUGCUUUUUGUAUCCUAGCUUCUUGCUUUGUUUAGUUUUGGUAUUCCCAAAUAAGCUGCUUGAGUGCGCUAGGUUGAUUAUUUUCACCUUUGAAGCUCUAAUGUACUAUCACCAGAUGGCUAGCACUGUUACCAGGUAUAUGAGCCUAGGAGUUCAUUUACUUUUCUUGUAUGCAUUCAACUCAGGUGCCCAGGUAGUUGGUCAUAAAGUGUGUGGUACAGGCUCUGUCCUACCGUCUUAGAGGGGCAGGGGUUAUUGGUGUAGGCAGAAGUAUCUGGCUGCAGUAGGGGGUCAGGCUCUGAUCAAGGCAGGGGUCUGACAGCUGUCCUCUGAGUGUCUGUGAGGAAAGUGCAUCCCUGUUCUGUAGAGCACACGGGUGGGUUCUGCAGAAGGGCGAUGGGUACCCAAUGCUUUUGGUUGUAAGUUCUGGGAGGUACUACUUACCCUUGGAGCCCUGUCACAGGAGGCUAGGUAUUGUGGGUGGAGCCACCAGUCCUUAGGCCCCUGAUGUGGGUAGGUGAAGACGCCGUUUAAUAGGCAAAGCAGUGUCAAACAUCAAACACCCAUCUUUCCACCGUUCAGCUGAAACAGUUGCAGUCUGGCGACAAGGGCCUAUUCUCCUGAAAUGGGCCCACACAGGUCCAUGCUGGGGUGAAAGGUAUUCAAAGCCCAUGGACUGUUUGUGCCUGAACAAGAGCUGCUUCUGUCCUGAGCUCCCCAGCUUAAUUGAGCUGGCAGAUUAUCUUUCCCCCAGUUGUGAACUUAUACCUUCUUCAAGGAUGGAAAAAUGGCUCAGAGUGGUACCAGGGCCUAUCUCAGGCCCAGGGAAGUUGACAGCCACUGAAGCCGGCUUGGGGGCUGAGGGCGUGGUAAAAUAAACACAAGUAAUUAGCUUUUGCUGAGAGUGCCGUUCUUCUCUUGUUCUGGAGGUGUGAGUAGUCUGUGCAACUUGCUGUCCUUCCCUGAGCUAAACGCCUCUGGAACACUACUGCCAGCCCCGCUGCAGUCGCUCCAGGGAACGGUGCCUGAGGGUUCCUGGCUGUUCAGGUCCAGUAACUCCUCUCCACUUCUGAAUAGUCUCUCCCUCCCCCUGCCGCUGAGUCCAUUUUCUAACUUUACCUUUGAUGUUCAGGGCUCCUAGCUUGUCAUAAAUAUAAUCGCUUCACUUGUUUUUUCUGGUCUUUUUUGUAAGAGGGAUCACUGGUGGCGUCUCAAUACUCAAAACUUCAUCAUUUCUUCCUUUCACUUUAGCUACUCGACAUUCAAGAGCAACGUUCAGAGUCUCUUCCGACAUCCGUUUUGGUCUUUUCUUUCUUUCCUGUCUUUUAAAGGAUCUCUUGCUUUCCUCAUGUGUGAUGUCCUUGAUGUCAUUCCACAACUCGUCUGGUCUUCAGUCGUUAGUGUUCAACACGUAAAAUGUGUUCUUGAGGUGGUCUCUAAAUACAGGUGAGAUAUACUCAAGGUCAUAUUUUGGCCCCUUUUGACUUAUUCUAAUUUUCUUCCGUUUCAACUUGAACUCCCAUAUGAGCAAUUGACAGUCUGUUUCACAAUCGAUCCCUGGCCUUGUUCUGACUGAUGAUAUGAGUUUUCCCAUCUUCUCUUUCCACAGAUGUAGUCAGUUUGAUUCCUGUGUAUUCCAUCUGGUAAAGUCCACGUGUAUAGCUGCCGUUUAUGUUGGUGAAAAAAAAUAUUUGCAGUGGAUGAGUCACUGGUCUUGCAAAAUUCUUUCAUGAGAUUUCUGGCGUCAUUUAUUUCAGUGAUGCUGUAUUUUCCAACUACUUUUCCUUCUUUGUUUCCAACUUUAACAUUCUAAUGACCAGUAAUUAUCAAUGCAUCUUGAUUGCAUCUUUGAUCAAUUUCAGGCUGCAGAAGUUGUUUAAAAUCUUCAAUUUCUUUAUCUUUGGCAUUAGUGGUUGGUGCAUAAAUUUGAAUAGUCAUAUAAACUAGUCUUCCUUGUAAGUGUAUGGAUUUUAGCCUAUCAGUGACAACAUUGUACUUCAGGCUAGAUCUUGAAAUGUUCUCUUUGAUGAUAUGUAACGUCAUUCUUUUGACUCUGGUGGAAUAUCCAUGUUUGUAAGACUGCUCACAGACUGUUUUACCAGAGAGUUUUCUGGUACUGCAACAUCUACCACUAAUCUCUGUGAUCCCUUUGAAUUGGCAAAAUAAGAAUAGUGCUAUAGAUUUCUUCCAAAUACAGAAAACAUAAGUAUGAAAAUGUUCUUGCUGUUGAUUAUAUUCUUUACCAAUCUGUUUGUAUGGGAUUUUUGGUACUUCACUUGAAAAAUGAGUCCAAGGUACUGUGAUGUGAUUGUUUACUUUGUGUGGCCUUUCUAGCCAUGGUCUUAUAACAUCCACCCUGGUGCUUGGGCAGGACUGUGUGAUAGGGUAAUUGUGGCUCACCAAGAGGAUUGUUUAUUUUGCCUUCAAAGAGAACCAGUUCCAGAGCAAAGAGGAGGAUUCAACUCCCAUCAAGGAAGAACAGCCAAGAGCCGAGCGUAUAUUAUGGACCUGAGAUCCCUGCACUGAGAAGCUCCUAGAAGCAGGAGACUGAGAUAGAGAGAGGAAGCUGUAACCCUGAAGAUGCUUAAAUACAGACCAGAAGAGGAGUUUGGGGCUUGACACCUGACAUCUUAACACCAGUUCCUGUUUCUUGAGGAAGGAAGAGGUAAAAUAAAUCAGCGUUUGCUGUUUCCUUCUCCAUCCCCGGAAGUCCUGAUGAAGACCCUCUCAGGUAAGGAUUGACAGGGAGUGGCUUGGUUUACUAUUCAACUUUGUCCUUCAGUAACUUUGUUUAUGUCCUGCAUGUAAACUGUUGUGCAUUGAGAAGCAUUCUAAUUCUUGUGCAGAAGGACUAGACCUCCUGCAGAAUGACUAUAUUGUGCCUCCCUCGGGCACCCCUGUCUGCGCAGCACCCCCCAACGCCAACUGCCCAACCGCCCCUCUCCUGGCAUUCUGCUUCUAGAAGCAUGUUCUUUUGAUGCAGAGAUGCAGCACACACAGAAUCCCAGCUGGAUUACAGACUUGAACCUGAAGACCUUAUGCAGAAUGACAAUUUAUGAACCACUAAGCUCAGUACUAAAGCAGCUUCAACUUGAACGUGAAUAUGAGCAACUGAUCAUCUGUUCUGCAGUCAGCCCCUGCCCUGAUUCUGACUCAUGAUAUUGACCAAGUGAAGAGUGAUUCAGAGAAAAACAUGGAUAGAGUGUGACCUAAUUUCCAUAAAAACAAACAAAUGAAUGUACUUACAUGUGUCCCGGCAAAAAGAAGUGUGUAAAAGGGUACAUAUGUAUCUUUGGACACUGGACACUUCAGGGGAGCAGGUAUAAUAUACUUAUGUGGGGAUGGCUCUUAUUAUAACUUCUAUAUACAAAUCUCUAUUGUUAAAUGUGUUAUAAGAAUGUAAAAGCUUUUAAAGUUUAAUAACAUCAUACGUGUAUGUGUGUGUAUUUGAAACUUUUUUUCUUUUGACUAUUUUAUAUAUGUGUUUUUUAGUUAUCUAGUUUUUUUUUUAGUGUGGCUAUAGCAGAGAUACCAAAAGUGGAUGGCUUUAACAAACAGAAACUUAUUCUCUCACAGUUUAAGAAGCAACAAGUUUGAAGUCAGGGCACCAGGUCUAGGAGAAAGCUCUCUCUCUUUGUGGCUCUGGGGGAAGGUCCUUGUCAUCUAUCUUCCCCUGGCCUAGGAAAUUCUCAGCGCGUGGACACUGGGUCAAAAAGACGUGCUCCACUCCAGGCACUUCUUCCUUGGUGGUAUGAGGUCCCUCUCAUUUCCGCUCACUCUUCUCUUUGUAUCUCAAAAGAGACUGACUCAAGACUCACCCUAAUCCUGUAGAUUGUGUCCUCCCUCAUUAACCUAACUGCCUCUAAUCCCGCCUUAUUUACAUCACAGAGGUUAGAAUUUACAACACAUAAGUAAUCACAUCAGAUCACAAAAUGCAGGACAACCACACAAUACUGGGAAUCAUGGUCUGGCCAGGUUGGCACACGUUUUGGGGGACACUAUUCAAUCCAUAACAACAGAGAAAACACUGUCUUCAAUGCCAGAUUCAGAGACUUUUAUCAAUCUAUGAAGGGCAAACACAGAAAUUGAACAAAAUUCAGACCAGCGAAUUAUUGCUUGCUCUUGUAACUAAUGACUUCUUCUGGUCUCUGUACCUGGAAAUGGCCAAAAAGAAUUCUGUGAGGAUUAAUUCAGUUAUUGCUAAAACAUCUACUGCAUUUACAUGUCUACAGAUAAGGAAUAAUGCUGGACACCAUGUGUGAUUCAUUAAGUAACACAGGGACUAUUAGACUGUUGUUCUCCUUCUCUGAUAUGCCACUAUCACCUUCUCCCCUUGUUGCUCUCCUGAAAAACCCACACUUGUAUAUUCUAGGCUUUUUUCCAGAAUUGAAUUUGCAGGAAGUUGAAGAUACAUC